GGAAUUAUGCCUGAGUAUCAAGGACCACUUUGAUAGAGUGCCCCACGAGUGUUAAAUUCACUCUAAUUCCU
rnacentral:tRNA from 1 species